rnacentral:tmRNA from 1 species
GGGGGCGACCAGGCUUCGACUGAAGGAGAGGAAGAUCGGGCAAGCAGGCCGUGGUUGGACGAAUGGCCACGUUAAAAAUCGCCCACAAUGUCAGCUGCCAAUAACAGCGACUAUUCUCCGGUUGCUCUGGCUGCCUAAUCGCAGUUAGACCAAUUUGCCGGAUGUGGCCCCCUUGAGGCGUGAUAGAGGGGUCGCCGCAUAACUCCUCACGCUCAUCCGACAGGAUCCCCCGGGGCUUGGCGGAAACAACCAACCGGGGCGGGCGCGGGUGAGGCCGCCGUAAGCCAACACCCCGCGCCGGGAUAGAAAAAAACGGCUACGCCUGUAGAAAACCCGGUUUUCGCCUUACAGGACGCGGGUUCGAUUCCCGCCGCCUCCAUUU